rnacentral:rRNA from 1 species
GACGAACGCUGGCGGCGUGCCUAACACAUGCAAGUCAGGGAGAAAGAGGUAGCAAUAUCUCGAGUAAACCGGCGAACGGGUGAGUAACACGUAGGUAACCUGCCCUCGAGUUGGGAAUAACUUCGAGAAAUCGAGGCUAAUACCGGAUAAUGCAACGAACUCGCAUGGGUUUGUUGUUAAAGUUCCGCGCAAGCGGAACGCUUGAGGAUGGACCUGCGGCCGAUUAGCUAGUUGGCGGAGAACAGCCCACCAAGGCGACGAUCGGUAGCCGACCUGAGAGGGUGACCGGCCACACUGGGACUGAGAUACGGCCCAGACUCCUACGGGAGGCAGCAGUGGGGAAUCUUGCGCAAUGGGCGAAAGCCUGACGCAGCGACGCCGCGUGAGGGAUGACGGCCU